AGAGUUUGAUCAUGGCUCAGAACGAACGCUGGCGGCAUGCCUAACACAUGCAAGUCGAACGAAGCCUUCGGGCUUAGUGGCGCACGGGUGCGUAACACGUGGGAAUCUGCCCUUCGGUUCGGAAUAACAGUUAGAAAUGACUGCUAAUACCGGAUGAUGACGUAAGUCCAAAGAUUUAUCGCGAAGGAUGAGCCCGCGUAGGAUUAGGUAGUUGGUAGGGUAAUGGCCUACCAAGCCGACGAUCCUUAGCUGGUCUGAGAGGAUGAUCAGCCACACUGGGACUGAGACACGGCCCAGACUCCUACGGGAGGCAGCAGUGGGGAAUAUUGGACAAUGGGCGAAAGCCUGAUCCAGCAAUGCCGCGUGAGUGAUGAAGGCCUUAGGGUUGUAAAGCUCUUUUACCAGGGAUGAUAAUGACAGUACCUGGAGAAUAAGCUCCGGCUAACUCCGUG
rnacentral:rRNA from 1 species